UACGUAGGUGGCAAGCGUUGUCCGGAUUUACUGGGUGUAAAGGGUGCGUAGGCGGCUUUGCAAGUCAGAAGUGAAAUCCAUGGGCUUAACCCAUGAACUGCUUUUGAAACUGCAGAGCUUGAGUGGAGUAGAGGUAGGCGGAAUUCCCGGUGUAGCGGUGAAAUGCGUAGAGAUCGGGAGGAACACCAGUGGCGAAGGCGGCCUGCUGGGCUCUAACCGACGCUGAGGCACGAAAGCGUGGGUAGCAAACAGG
rnacentral:rRNA from 1 species